rnacentral:misc_RNA from 1 species
GGAUGGCAACAUUUGGUUAUGUUCAUCAACUUGGCAACAUUCUAUUUUAUUGGCAUGCCAAUAUCUUGGCUCCUUGCUUUUAAGUUCAACCUACAUGCUCAGGGCUUAUGGAUGGGCUCAAUAUGUGGGCUAGCCUGCCAAGCUUUGGGCUUAUUGCUACUAACAUUAUUUAUCAAAUGGGAAAAAGUAGUGGCCUCAACAAAGAGCAAUGGUGAAAAUGAACUUCUAGCUUGAGCAUGAACUUAUUG